rnacentral:misc_RNA from 1 species
CAAUGAGUGUUUUAUGGCACUCUUUAAAAAUCCAUAUCCACCUUGUGUGCAAUGUCAGUCGGUCUUCUUUAUGGAGAUCGGCCAAACAUCAACCUAAUUUUUUAACUCUUUGUCUGAAAAAUAUUAUGAAUAAACAAUUCAAAAUA